UUCUACGGCCAUGCUACCCUGAACAAGCCCGAUCCUGUCUGAUCUCGGAAGCUAAGCAGGGUCGGGCCUGGUUAGUACUUGGAUGGGAGACCACCUAAGAAGAUCAGGUGCUGUAGGCA
rnacentral:rRNA from 1 species